GACGAACGCUGGCGGCGUGCUUAACACAUGCAAGUCGAGCGGAAAGGCCACUUCGGUGGUACUCGAGCGGCGAACGGGUGAGUAACACGUGAGUAAUCUGCCCCUGGCUUUGGGAUAGCCACCGGAAACGGUGAUUAAUACCGGAUAUGACGCGGACUCGCAUGGGUUUGUGUGGAAAGUUUUUCGGCCAGGGAUGUGCUCGCGGCCUAUCAGCUUGAUGGUGAGGUAAUGGCUCACCAUGGCUUCGACGGGUAGCCGGCCUGAGAGGGUGACCGGUCACACUGGGACUGAGACACGGCCCAG
rnacentral:rRNA from 1 species